GAUGAAGAACGCAGCGAAAUGCGAUAAGUAAUGUGAAUUGCAGAAUUCAGUGAAUCAUCGAAUCUUUGAACGCACCUUGCGCCCUUUGGACAUUCCGAAGGGCAUGCCUGUUUGAGUAUCAUGAACACCUCAACUCUCACGGCUUGUCCGUGAUGAGCUUGGACUUUGGGGGUCUUGCCGGCCUGUGGUCGGCUCCUCUCAAAUGGAUCAGCUUGCCAGUGUUUGGUGGCAUCACAGGUGUGAUAACUAUCUGCGCUUGUGGUUUUCCAUCAGAUAACCUUCAGUGAUAUGGAGGUUCGCUGGAGCUCACAGAUGUCUCUCCUUAGUGAGGACAGCUCUUUGAACGUUUGAUCUCAAAUCAGGUAGGACUACCCGCUGAACUUAAGCAUAUCAAUAAGCGGAGGA
rnacentral:misc_RNA from 1 species